rnacentral:rRNA from 1 species
CAGUCGCCGCGGUAAUACGUAGGGUGCGAGCGUUAAUCGGAAUUACUGGGCGUAAAGCGGGCGCAGACGGUUACUUAAGCAGGAUGUGAAAUCCCCGGGCUCAACCUGGGAACUGCGUUCUGAACUGGGUAACUAGAGUGUGUCAGAGGGAGGUAGAAUUCCACGUGUAGCAGUGAAAUGCGUAGAGAUGUGGAGGAAUACCGAUGGCGAAGGCAGCCUCCUGGGAUAACACUGACGUUCAUGCCCGAAAGCGUGGGUAGCAAACAGGACUAGAUACCCGCGUAGUCCCUGUCUCUUAUAC